rnacentral:rRNA from 1 species
GCCCUAAAUCUAGCCUUCAAAAUUCGCAUGACCCCCUCCCCCUCCCCCCUCUACUAACAAAACAUUUUCUUAUCCUAGUACAGGCGAUCGAAAAAUUUCUAAGCGCUUCAGACAAAGUACCGUAAGGGAAAGAUGAAAUAGAACUGAAAUAAUCCUAAAGCCCUAAAUAGCAGAGACACAACCUCGUACCUUUUGCAUCAUGGUCUAGUUAGUCUACCCAAGCAAAAUGAAACUUUUAGUUAGUCCCCCCGAAACUAAGCGAGCUACUUCAAAACAGCCCUAUGGGGCCAACCCUUCUCUGUUGCAAAAGAGUGGGAAGAUUUUCAAGUAGAAGUGAAAAGCCUACCGAGCUUAGAGAUAGCUGGUUAUUCAGGAAAAGAGUUUUAGCUCUACCUUAAGCUUCUUUAUGAGACCUAACAAACCUUAAAGCUUAAGAGCCAUUCAAAUAAGGCACAGCUUAUUUGAAAUAGGAUACAACCUAGAAUAUUGGGUAAAUAACAGUGAUUAAAGUUAAGUUGGCCUAAGAGCAGCCACCUUCAAAAAAGCGUUAAAGCUUAACUCUAUCAACUAAUAAUCUCUAAAAUUUUAAUCAACCCUUUAUCCUUACUGAAUUAUUUAUACCUUUAUAAAAGUAAUAAUGCUAGAACUAGUAACAAGAAACUGCCUGUUCUCCUAAAUGCAAGCAUAAACCAAAAUAGACACCCUAUUGGUAGUUAACGUAAAUGUAAUAACUAUAGUAACGUAAUAGAAAACCCUAUAACCUCUAACGUUAAUCUUACACCAGUGCAUUCCAGGAAAGAUUAAAAAAGAAAGAAGGAACUCGGCAAAUUUUAGCCCCGCCUGUUUACCAAAAACAUCGCCUCUUGAAAAGUUAUAAGAGGUCCAGCCUGCCCAGUGACUAAGUUCAACGGCCGCGGUACCCUAACCGUGCGAAGGUAGCAUAAUCACUUGUUCUUUAAAUGGGGACUUGUAUCAACGGCACCACGAAGGCUGCACUGUCUCCUUUCUCCAAUCAGUGAAACUGAUCUCUCCGUGAAGAAGCGGGGAUUAAAUUAUAAGACGAGAAGACCCCAUGGAGCUUCAAACUCAUUAUACAACUCUGUGCUCUAUGCCCCACAACACAUAGAAGCAUGUAUAGUAGUUUUGGGUUGGGGUGACCUCGGAGUAUAACUCAGCCUCCAAAACAAACAGGUUAACACCUUUAUCCAUGAGAAACACCUCUAAGAAUUAUUAAACUAAUGUAUUUGACCCGAUAGUCGAUCAAUGAACCAAGUUACCCUGGGGAUAACAGCGCAAUCUACUUCAAGAGUUCCUAUCGACAAGUGGGUUUACAACCUCGAUGUUGGAUCAGGGUAUCCCAGUGGUGCAACCGCUACUAAUGGUUCGUUUGUUCAACG